rnacentral:lncRNA from 1 species
AUCUGCAGCAGCCAGCAGCUGAGUCCCAGCUGAGGCGGCGUACAUACCAUUCCAACCCCGAAAAUGCAAUAUGAUUGUGAUAUUACAGAGUCAGAUCGCGAAAAGAAAGUACUAGUACUACUGAGGUCAUGAAAACAGUGUCUAUUAUGUUCUGUACUACAAUGUUACUGUGAAACGGUUUCUUUAAUUCACGACUCGUUAUGCUGUACUUUGAGCAGAAUUAUAUGGCGAAUUUCGUGUUACAGAGUUCGUUUAAGCUUCCAUAUGUAUAGCUAAUUAAAGUUGAAUAAGUAUGUCAAUGAAAUAUAUAUGGUUAUUAUCUUCUUUUUUUUCAACAAUCAGGAAUUAAUUGUAAUGAAUUGUGACCAUCAGCCGCAUGAAUCAGGACAGAGCUUGCAUACCCGUCUGAGCAUGGCUCGAGCAGCAUGAUUAAUGAGAUUGAAGGUCCUGAACUCCUGGUUAAAGCUAGAAAGAGUAAAAUUGUUGUGUGAUACGAAUGAAAAAUAAUUUGUAGGAAUUUUAUUUAGUUUAAUUAUGACGUAGUCCAAGAUCAAAAUUUUACUUUGCUAUAUAAGAAACUUCUUUAGAAUGGUAUGUGUCCAACUUUGCCUUGCUUAUUCUGCUAUGUAAAAAUCUUAUUUUGCUGUAGUUACUACAUUUCUUUUUCGAUUUGUAAGUUCUAUUCAAAUUGUAUUCUCGGU